rnacentral:lncRNA from 1 species
AGGCUUUUAAUCACUUGAGUUAAUAUUUUUGAAUUUUAAUCUAUUGCUGAAUUUGUUUUUUUGUUUCGUUUUUUAAUUAGUCUUAUGGCAAGGACUUGGAAGAGUCAUCUAACUUCUUGGUGAUGGAAGCUGGGCCUAUGGGAAUGAAUAAGCAAGGAAAGACUGAACCACUCAAGCAGUGUGGAAGUGGUUCAGCAGUUGUAGAACAGAGCAACACAGUACCAGACUUUUGGCCAAGAGAAACUGAAGAUGUAAUGAGAAAGUCAUCCUCUCCUUUAACUUCUGCAGCUGACACGCAAUAUUUUUCACCUUUACCUCUUAAUGGAAGUCCUGUUUCUUCGCAAGAAAUUUCUCAAGAAAAAAUGGCUGUCUGCAGUCUUGGAAGAAAUUCAGUGCAAAAGGAGAGUGUUAACGUAAAGGCAUUGAGAAGAUCACUUAGCUCCUGUCAACUACCCGAGAAGAUCUGUAACCCUACUGAACUAAGGAGCAGCAGAUAUCUCCUCGAGACACAGCUGCAGAAAACCAACGAAGAUUCACAAGAACUGGACAGGGUCUGCAGUAGUCAGAGUCUGGUUUUGCCUGUCAUUGCAAAGUCUUCAGUGUUACAGGAUUUAGCCAAAAGACAGAAGUCUGCUUCUACACGGUAUUGGGGACUUGAAGGUUUCUUUGUUGUAGGUGCAAACCCUAAACAAGUGAUGCUUGAAGCAUGUUCUUCACUGUGUGCUGGCUCUGACCCUGCGGACAGGAGUAUCUCAUUUCCAGGAGCUGGGAAGUGGGUUACUGAAAGGAGCUUAAGUGAAUACGCUGAUGACUCUCUAGUUCAAGGUGUCUUAGAAAGUCAAUUGAACAGACCUUCAGGUGGUUUGGAGACUCAAAAUAGAAUUUCUCCCCUGAUGGUAGCGUGGCAGUCGCACUCAGGUAGGAGAGCAACAGCUUUGAAGUCC